GAAAGAAUUAAAGACCUUAUGGGUGAUUUGUUUGCCAAGUCAUUCUCUCUAAAGCCUAGACGUUUGACGAGGCAUAUCAGUUCCCGAGUAUUAUCCGAUGAAUCUCUAAUAUUGGCUAAGGUGAGCUUGCCGAGUAGUUGGAUAUCUGGACGGUUCGGUGUCUUUGGGAUAAUUGUAUUUAUUUCGGUUUUAAUUAAUAAUGUAUACAAAUUUUAUAUUCGAUUUAUUUGAAAUAUUUUUAUAAUUCAAUUUAAUGAUGUAUUUCUUUCGGACUAAUUUUAUUAAAUGCUUUGUAUUUGAAUUGGUUUUGAA